AAUAAUAUAUAUUAUUAUCUACCUAUACAGUAUACAUAUGAUAUAGUUCAUAACACUGUCUCAUCGAUUUUAUCAAAAACUUUGCGUAGGCGCACCGAUAAACGUUGCUUAUCAUUAUUGCCCCGCGAAUUCGAAGACCGUAAGCGUUGACGGCGCAUAUACUAUUCACACGAUACGCGAAGGCCGAAGACGAUUUUACUAUAAUAUAUUAGGAAUAUCCCACAAACUUUCGUGCACGUCCCUUCGGGUUUGUAAGUCUUUUCCUGCCGCACAAAUCGCUGGUAUUCGAUGGACGGGACGUACAGAUCAUCGGACGGCGACCGAUCGAAGAAACAUGGAUGGGCUCUGGACGGACCAGACUCGGUGUUCAUCAAGUUAGUGUCGAGCGACAAUCGAGAGUUCAUUGUGAAAAGAGAGUAUGCUCUCAUGUCCAAUACAAUCCAAGGUCUGAUAAAUGGUUACGAACACUGAACACUUCAUCGAAAACCAGACAAAUAAAAUACAUUUUAAAGUUAUACCUGGAAACAUAUUGGAAACAGUAUGCAAGUAUUUCAUGUUUAAAGCUCAUUAUAUUAACUUUCCUUCAAAAAAAGUGCCAAGGUUUCAUGUAAACAAGGUUGAUUCUCUACAACUUUUGGUGGCCUCUAACUUUUUAGACUGUUAAUUUAAGCUAAUAAAAAAAUUAAAUAUUUGUAUUUUCACAAAAUGUCAAAAAAUAUUUGUUUUUGUAUUGAUAUAAAUUUUUUGAUUUUUUCCUUUCAGUUUAUCUUAUCAUUGCAAUACAAAAAUUAUAAUUUUUUAUUGAACUUUCUUCUUGGAACAGAAUAUGUGUGAUUUAAUGUUCAAAAAAUAUGUAUGAAAAAAUAUAUGCUUUUAACAAUUUAAA